GCGGGUAUGGUUUAGUGGUAGAAUAACUGCCUUCCAAGCAGUAGACGAGAGUUCGAUUCUCUCUACCCGCACCA
rnacentral:tRNA from 1 species